rnacentral:tRNA from 1 species
AUCCAAAUAGUUUAAGUUAAAAUUCUAAUUUGUGAUAUUAGGGAUAUAGUUGUAUUUUGGGUA